CGGGACACGUGGUAUCCUGUCUGAAUAUGGGGGGACCAUCCUCCAAGGCUAAAUACUCCUGACUGACCGAUAGUGAACCAGUACCGUGAGGGAAAGGCGAAAAGAACCCCGGCGAGGGGAGUGAAAAAGAACCUGAAACCGUGUACGUACAAGCAGUGGGAGCACGCUUAGGCGUGUGACUGCGUACCUUUUGUAUAAUGGGUCAGCGACUUAUAUUCUGUAGCAAGGUUAACCGAAUAGGGGAGCCGAAGGGAAACCGAGUCUUAACUGGGCGUUAAGUUGCAGGGUAUAGACCCGAAACCCGGUGAUCUAGCCAUGGGCAGGUUGAAGGUUGGGUAACACUAACUGGAGGACCGAACCGACUAAUGUUGAAAAAUUAGCGGAUGACUUGUGGCUGGGGGUGAAAGGCCAAUCAAACCGGGAGAUAGCUGGUUCUCCCCGAAAGCUAUUUAGGUAGCGCCUCGUGAAUUCAUCUCCGGGGGUAGAGCACUGUUUCGGCAAGGGGGUCAUCCCGACUUACCAACCCGAUGCAAACUGCGAAUACCGGAGAAUGUUAUCACGGGAGACACACGGCGGGUGCUAACGUCCGUCGUGAAGAGGGAAACAACCCAGACCGCCAGCUAAGGUCCCAAAGUCAUGGUUAAGUGGGAAACGAUGUGGGAAGGCCCAGACAGCCAGGAUGUUGGCUUAGAAGCAGCCAUCAUUUAAAGAAAGCGUAAUAGCUCACUGGUCGAGUCGGCCUGCGCGGAAGAUGUAACGGGGCUAAACCAUGCACCGAAGCUGCGGCAGCGA
rnacentral:rRNA from 1 species